rnacentral:rRNA from 1 species
AACGAACGCUGGCGGCAGGCUUAACACAUGCAAGUCGAACGCUCCUAGCAAUAGGGGAGUGGCAGACGGGUGAGUAACGCGUGGGAAUCUACCCAGCCCUUCGGAAUAGCUCCGGGAAACUGGAAUUAAUACCGAGUACGCCCUACGGGGAAGAUUUAUCGGGGUUGGAUGAGCCCGCGUUGGAUUAGCUAGUUGGUGAGGUAAUGGCCCACCAAGGCGACGAUCCAUAGCUGGUCUGAGAGGAUGAUCAGCCACACUGGGACUGAGACACGGCCCAGACUCCUACGGGAGGCAGC